CCUACGGGUGGCAGCAGUGAGGAAUAUUGGUCAAUGGGCGCGAGCCUGAACCAGCCAAGUAGCGUGAAGGAUGACUGCCCUACGGGUUGUAAACUUCUUUUAUAAGGGAAUAAAGUGUUGCACGUGUGCCUUUUUGUAUGUACCUUAUGAAUAAGGAUCGGCUAACUCCGUGCCAGCAGCCGCGGUAAUACGGAGGAUCCGAGCGUUAUCCGGAUUUAUUGGGUGUAAAGGGAGCGUAGAUGGAUUGUUAAGUCAGUUGUGAAAGUUUGCGGCUCAACCGUAAAAUUGCAGUUGAAACUGGCAGCCUUGAGUACAGUAGAGGUGGGCGGAAUUCGUGGUGUAGCGGUGAAAUGCUUAGAUAUCACGAAGAACUCCGAUUGCGAAGGCAGCUUACUGGACUGCAACUGACAUUGAGGCUCGAAAGUGUGGGUAUCAAACAGGAUUAGAUACCCGGGUAGUC
rnacentral:rRNA from 1 species